rnacentral:rRNA from 1 species
UACGAACCGUACAACCGUUAUUCGGAAUCACUGGGCUUAAAGGGUGCGUAGGCGGCCAUGUAAGUGAGGUGUGAAAUCCCUCGGCUCAACCGAGGAACUGCGCUUCAUACUGCAUGGCUUGAGGGAGACAGGGGUAAGCGGAACUGAUGGUGGAGCGGUGAAAUGCGUUGAUAUCAUCAGGAACACCGGUGGCGAAAGCGGCUUACUGGGUCUCUUCUGACGCUGAGGUACGAAAGCUAGGGGAGCGAACGGG